rnacentral:lncRNA from 1 species
CCCCCGCCUUCCCACCAGCCUCACAUGACCGCCUUGUUCAGGUGAUCCUCGCACUCCCCUAGCUCGUGCUGGGCCUCCCCGGUCACGUGGGGCCGGAGCCCGGGGAAGGAGGGGAGAGGUCCUGCCUUGCGUGGGCCGCCCUGGUGGCCCGCCCGAGGCGAAGCCGGGGGCACCUGGGCGCCGCCCGAGUCCCGAUCGGGCGGGAGGAUGGAGGAACGGCGUGGCCCCCGCUCCUGUGGCCUCCCAGGAUGGCUCGCGGCGGGCCUCCCAGGAUGCCUCAGGACGCCGCACGGAGGGGCUUCCGUGGCCCAGGCUUAGAAGCCAAAGCUAGCCCUGCUUGUAAUCGCCCGGCCCCGGGAAGUCGCAGAUCGCGUGGGGGGGGUUAGCCCCUACGUCCCGGGGAUGCUGUAAGGAUGCGAUGAGGCUUGUGUUUAUCCUGGAAACCUGGCCAGUUGCUUGAGUAAGCACAGCCCUCCUUAAAAAAUGAAAAAUAUUCUCCUUGGCCAGCCUCUUGUGAUGGAACAUCCUGUACCUGGGAGGCUGCUAUGUCUCAAGAGUCAAGUAUCAAAUGAGAAUACUCAGCGUGAUGUCUUCUUGGUUCUCAGCCUAUAAAAAUCCCUUGGUGGAAAGGGACUUGGAGAAUUUACCAAGGAAGUUCUUGCCUAGGAAUGCCUCCCACAAUUCUGUAUAGCUGCACUAUGGAUUCUCCCAGCUGAGGAAUUCAGGUGUUGGUGCUUCCUUGCAGUGAUGAUGUAUGUUGUAUGUUGCUUAUUUGUGUUUGCAAUAGUGUCUUUAUGGUAGCCACAGUGUUUAUUAAUUGUGUAUUAUUUGUAUGCUAUGAGAUUCCUCCUCUAUUUUGUCUUAUUUAAAUCAAGGUUCUGAGCAGUAAUAAACUUGUACCCACUCUCUUUAAGACUGUGCCUGUUGAAUAUGAAUUCUGAACUUAGAUUAAUCUUAGUGAGGCUGACAACUUUGCAUAACUCUGCUUUUUUAAAUCCAAUUCAUGUAUGAGUCAAGACAUCACCCAUGAUGUCAUUGGUUCUUUUUAAACAAAGGAUAAGCCGAAAUAGCCUCCAUUUCACAGCUAAACUCCCAGAAAAAAAAAAUUGUCUAUACUCUCUCAGCUCCCACUGACUUCUUAGUCUCUUUCUCACUUCCCACUGACUCCUCAAAUGUAUUGCAAACUGGUUUCCCUAUCUAUCCAUCACUCAACUCAAACUAUUCUCUUUAAGUUCACCAAUGAUCUUCUUGUUGCUAAAUCUAAGGAAAUUUUCUCAGUCUUCAUAAUUCUGUGAGAAUACUAUCCAUGCCCUAUUUCCUUAUAUUUAUGUAUGGCCCAAAACCCUAUCUAGAGUCUUCUCACUCUAGAUUUUUUUCUUGAUGACCUCAUCAACUACCCUGAGACCAAUUUCUCCGCAGACUCUCAAAUUAAUAUAGAGCUAACCUUUUAUUUCUCUCUAAAGUUCAAAAACCUACAUCAUCAACUCUGUUGAAUACCUCCACCUGAAUAUCCCA